rnacentral:lncRNA from 1 species
ACUUAAUUUGGUGUUGUUGAUUAUUUCCUCCAAUACUUCUCUGUCUAUAUCAUCUGAAGUAAUAUCAUCAUCAAGUUCAAAAGCAGUACCCUGAAAAAAAUGAAAUACCAGUUAACCACUGAAAACGAAUGUAUCAAUAAUUGCAACAAAACUAAUUCAAUACACAUUUCUAAAACUCACAUGUCGAGCAAGGAUGUAAGAAAAUUGUUUCUUUUGCUGCACAUCAUCACAAGAAGUAUAGACCUGCUUGAUAUACUGCCAUCAUACACAGUUGUUAGGAAUUAAACCACAAUUACUUUUUAUGCAUAAUAGAUUCAAUUUAUUUGCAUCAGACACAAAUUACUCAUACAUAAGGUUACUCAAGUCAAUGAAAUCAAACAAGCAAACCUGCAAGUCAUUGAGGAAUAAUGCAAUCUGAAGUGCGCUUGCAUACUCCGUAAAUUUUAUAUAUAUCUCAUAUGCUAUUUUCAGAACUACCAAAUCAUCUGGUCCAGGAAGGUAUCUGCAAAAUAUUGGAAAUUGAAAUGUCAACACCAUACACACAUGAUCUACUAUUGAACAUAGAGCAGGGUUGAAGACAUUGUCCUUUGAAUGCCAUUAUAUAUAUAUAUAAAAAAAAUCUUUCUUUCUCUUUCAUUCAAGAAGAAGAAUCGGAAGUGAAGACUUCUUAAAAAUUUUGUUCCACAAGAAGCAUUCUCUUACUUAAUUCUUCAUCGCUCAAUAUGAUAUCUAGUCUAAAGUUGGGUUUACUUACAAACUUUUUUGGUAGUUAAAUGGUGCAUAUACAUGGGCAUUUAUUUUGAAGAUUUGCGCAAUUAAGUAAUGAUAAGCAACUAUAAGACAUGUUAUGUUGUAAGAUUUUAUAACAACGUAAAUGUGGAAAGAUUUAUUCUUUGAAAUCUAUUGGUCAAAAAGUCCUAGUAAAUCAUGACUGUAAUACACUCACUUUGCUGCACUGGUGAGGUAGAGACAAGUCCUCUUGAAAUUUGUUUUGUCCACAUACUUACUUAAAAUAUUAAGGUCUUCAACCUGGAUUUAGUCAAAACAAAAUAUUCAAAGUUCAGAGGAAGAAAAGAAAAUUGAUAAAAGAAUACUAGGAAGAUUGAAGAAAUAAUAUUGCGCUUUACCUCCAUUAAAAGGUCCACAGCUUCAGGUUCAGCAUUGUGCUGCAAAACAAUAAAAAUGAUCAGAUAUAAAAAGCACAGUUAUUGAUAUGGGGAUAUGGUAGACAGCAUUUGGGUAUUUUCAGUACUAGCUUGGUACUUCUGGUGUACAUCAAGACUCAAUCCUGCAUCCAUGUUCCAUUUAAGGGAACUUAUCUCAAAAUACGAUUUCAAGGCAUACCUUCAUGUGAAAUGCAACAAUCUGUUGUACAAGCUCAAUCAGAUCAUCAUUUGAGGCCUCUUCACUCUGUAAGCAGCACAAAAAUAAUUGGAAUUAAGAACACAGGGAACAUAUAUGAGAGUUCAUGACAGAUUUUUCACAGUUCAAUACAAAACACCCCUGAGCAUCAUGAUCCCAGGCACCAAUCUACAAACAAAAGUGUCACAGUGGAAGCAAUGAAAAGCUUAAUGCUAGAAGAAAAAACACAAGAAUAAGUGAGUAUUAAUUAAAUUAUACAGAAAUAUCAGGCUGUUUGAAUGCAAUCCUCCAGAUAGCAUAGUGAUGCUUUAAACUGUAAACACACUUUAGAUAGAUACUUUAAACUGAAAGUACACAUCAGAUAGAAGAACAUUUUCAUUGCCUGACAAGUUUGCUUAACAAGUCAUUCAAUCUUCAACAGCAUUACUAAAGGAUAAAUUUCUAACCUGUCGCUUUGUGUACUCUUGAGCAAUUUCUCCAGCCAAAUUCCUGCCGACAAAAAAAUCAUGACGUUAAGAUUGAUUCAUACACAUAAUAUAUGUAUGUGCCUGUGAGAGUGUCUCUUCAUAACUAUUAAAUGCUAAACGAUCCUCUCUACCUUUUACUCCAAUAGGUUGCUAAUCAAUUAACAAAACAGAAAUGCAAAAUUCAUUCAAUCAACAAUGCUAGUAGAUCACAGAAAAGAAAAUUGAGCAACCGAGCUCUAAGAACCUGUUGUAACACAAAAUGCAUGCACAAAUUUUAAAAGCUGUAGAAAAAGAAAAAAAGGCUUCAAGCUUUUUUUUUCAAUGAUCAAGGAGGAAAUUUUAUUGAAUGGAUAGAAUGAUUAACUGCAAUAAACAGAACAAGACAUCCUCUAAAAAAGAUAGAACAUCCCAAUUCUAGAAAUUUAUCACAACUAACUUGUUAUAAAAGCACUUGCAGCUGCGCUCAAUACAUUGCAGCCAAAAAAACUCUGUAUAGCAGUGACCAUUUUUUUUUUUUUCAAAUAUAUUGUGAUUAGAAGAACUUAAACUUGCAAGCCCAGGGAAAAAACAAUACCACAGCAAAACAUAACCAGCACACAACCCAAGCCUUCAUCACAAUAAAAAGCAUGUCCAGCUCCAUUUUGUAUCCUACUUGUAUGAAAAAUGUUCUUAGUGAGAUGAUCUCACCUUACAUACUCAUGGCCCCAUGAACCAAUAUCACCCUCUGAACCCAACAAUCUGUAUUUUAAGCUUUCCUGAAAGAGUCAUCAAAUGAAAAACAGAUGCAAGUGAAUGAACUACUAGUGCUUCAGAUUAACAUGUGCAGAACAAAUAUAAACAUUCAGAAUCACGCACCAAGUAUAUAUGCAAGAGAAAAUAUGCGAUAAACAAAAUAAACAUUAAUAGGAAAGAAGGGGGGAAAUAUAGGGGUGACAAGAGCAAAGGUGCAGACUAAGUACGCCCUUGCAUAGCAUGCCAAUCACUGGAAAAUACAAUAGAACAAACUUAAACCAUAAAACAUGUAGGCAUACCCGUUCUCCCUCUGCAGACAUGGUCAGCGCCAAAACUGAUAGUAUAUCUGCCAAGUAUUUCUGCAUAAAAAAACUAAUUAAUGUCUGAGCUACUGUGAUUGAUAUUAAGGGACAACAUCCAAAUUCACAAUAUACCUUCAGAUCGGCUUCAGACAUUUUUUCAUAGUGUGCUUUUAAGGUUCCAUAAUGUGGUCGAAGAAACUUCAAUGGCUUUGGAACUGAAGUCAUUGAACUCGUUGAGCUCCGAAUUUCCUGUCUGCAAGGGAAAAAAUGCAUUGUCAAUAACCACACGCUAUUCAAAAUUUGUUUCCUGAAAGUUGAUACUAACUGGUAGUAAAAUCAUUACACUUUUAACACAACACAUGAAGCCAUGCAAGACAUUCUCAAUCUUUUGAUACACAAAACGAGAAGCUGAGAUUCCUUCACUCUUGAAAAGCCACGAUAGACUAAAAAACAUAUUCACAACCAUUAUAGCAUUUGUGGCUACCAAAACACCGUCUUAAUCGGUACAAUAAUUAAUGAUGAAGACCAAGCCAGUCCACCCAUUCAGCUCCUCUCAAGUUAAGUAAGUCAAAAUCAUUGAUUUUGAAAUCAAUGGUUUGGGUUUUUUUAUAUAAAAAAAAUAAUAAUCACAAAUUUUAAAAGGAUUCAAACCACCCACUAACUUGGUGAAAUGAGAUCCUAACUAUUGAUUUCAAAAUCAAUGGUUUGGAUUUAACUAACAUGAUCGAUCAUGUUACCCCUAACUUGGGGGGAGCUCAAUCCAAGAGCACACAUACCCCUUCCAAAGCUCCAUCUCAUAAACAUUGGCAGUCACGACCCAUCUUCUAAAUGACUUUCAUGUUGAAGUCAGCUUUUGUUAAUCUAAAAAAUCAAGCCCUAAAUUCCAAGAGAAAUCCCAUACCCUUUUACAACGGUAAUAAACACAGCCAAACUAUCAGUGCGAUUCCCAUAAGAAACCAAUUUGCAUUCCUAUAUAUUACCAAAUAUCACUCACCCUUCACGUCAGCUUCACAGUUUCAAAUUCCUUCCAAUUUAUCAUCACCAACAAAUUAUCAUCAAAAUUAGCAGAAACAAAAACUAUAAAGUUGCAAGCUUUGAAUGAAUCAGUCACUACCUCAAACUCUCAAGAGCAAGCUUUUGAACUCCAGGUUCAGGAUCUUGAACUCUUUCCACAUACAACUCCAAUUGCUGCUUCAAUGCCAAGUCCUCCUCUGACUACACAGCAAAAACCCGCAUCAAAUCACAAAAAAAAGUAACAAAGUUGCUCUCAAUCUUCAAUGAAUAAAACCCUAAAGUGAGAAAUUAAAGUAAAUGAAACUUACUAAAUCGUCGUCUUUCUUCUCCUCUUUCUUCUUCGACGGCGACGGCUUCACCGGCUCAUCGUUUUUGGUUGCACCUCCGCUGCCACUCGCCUUGUUCGUUUCCGGCGCCAUAAUUUCUUUUAUUAAUUAAUUAAUUAUUUGUAGAAGGAAGCAUGAGAGAGGGACACUAUUAGCUUUUAUCUUUGAGACUGUAUUUAUGCUAUAGCGACUUAGAGAAGAAUGUAGCGUUCUAAAAACGUUUUUUUUUAAAAAAAAAUAUUAAAAUUUUUUUAUUUUUUUAUUUUAAAUUAAUAUAUUUUUUAAUAUUCUAAUAUUAUUUUUAAUGAAUAUUAUUAAAUAAGAUCAAAAAAAAUAUCUUCAAGAAUAUCAGUAAGUAAUUUGUUUUAAGAGAGACGUAUACUAUUAACAAAAACAUUGAGCCGUGUGGGCAUUUAAUAGUUGCAAAUUUCAUAGUUUAUCUUCUCAUAAAUUACUAUAAAUUAAAAUAGUUUAAUUUUUUUAAAAAAAAUAAUUUGAUCUUCAAACUCUUUUCUUUCACAAUUAAGCUAUUUUGAUCUUAAAUUGACACUCAAUUAUAUUUAUUUAUUUAAUAAAAAAUUGAAUUAAAAGAUAGAAAAUUAAAGUGCAAAUAACAUGUAAAAUAGAUGGCAGUAUUAUGUUUGACAAGUUUAUUUUAACUCCCAUCUUUUUUAAUUAUUAGGUAAUUCAAUUUUCGAGUCUAUUUUUUGUGAGAGCAUAAAAAGACUCGUUAGAUUUCGGCGUAUAAAAAGAAAUUCAUCGUUAAUAAUAAUUUUGACCAUCAAAAUAAUUGAUUUUGGUGUUAAUUGGUUUUCAUUUCACGAAGGAAAUUUAACCUAAGUGUUUUUCUUCAUUCUCCUUACCUAAGGAGAUAUAUUUAUAGCAAGAAUCAUUUUGGCCUUGGGUUAAUUAUGUUUUUUGUGUUUUUUUUUCUUUGUCAUAGAUAGAAUUAUCAAGAUGUUUAUUAUGUGUUUAAAGGUGUGUUUGGGUAAAAAAAAAGUUUUAAAUAAAAACAAAAACCAAACCCGUGAUUUUCUAGUGGCUAAUUUGCAGAAAGCAAAUGACAUGUCACCCGAUGUCUUUUUGUUUUUUUUAAAAAAAAAAUUAUCUACCCUUUUAAAUUUUUUUUUUUAAAUAGGAUAGGCUCAGGCACAUGGGUUGGGUUACGUUAGAAAGCCCACUUACCUCGGUUAUUGUUUUAGUGCCUAGACUUACACGACUUGACUUCCUUUCUUCUUCUUUUUUUCUUCCUAUUUUAUACUUGAUUUUAAAAAAAUUGAUAAAACAAAUCAUUGAACCUAAUUGAAUCAAUUAUCCAGUAGCAAGUUUAAUAAGUUAAUCCACGACAUCUAAAGUAUUAUUUGUUUUUCAUUUUUUUUGUUUGAUGCUUUUCAUAUCCCUCAUUUAAAAAAAAUAAUUUAACUUUUUUUUUUGUCAUCAAUUAUCUAUCUUUUUUUUUAAAAUUUUUUUUAUCUCAAAUAAAAAAGUAUAUAAUUUUAUUAUUUGUUGUUAAUGAUCUACUUUUGCUAUCUUGAUCGCACUUGCCUAUCAUGAUUUUUUUACUUUUAAAAAACAUAUUGUUUAAUACAAAAAACAUAUUAUGCAUUAUAUUGUUAUAUAAUUAAAUAAAAAUAUUUUUUGAGAUAAAAAAAAUAUAGGACCCGGUGAUGUGUAUAACUUUCGUUGCAAGCUUACUUAGUUGGAUUGAAUUUUUCUGUUUUUCUUAUCAAAUGUUAUUUUUUAUUAAUUUCAUCUUUUAAUAUUAAAUUAUUUUAAAAUUAAACUUUUUAAUUUUUUAUCACAAGAUUAUUCCUACAAGUUUGGCAAGUCAGCCCGAGUAAUCACGAACCAAUGAACCAGUAUAUAGUAGGUUUGAUUUCGCAGAAAUUGGGCCAAAGGCUUGCCGAAGACUGUUACGGGUUUUGUACAGAUAGGUUUUCCACUGUCUUCUUUGUUUUUCAACGUAGUUCCAGGAGCAUUCAAAAUUAUUUUCAAUUGCAAAGGCCCUUUUCUACAUAGAACGUUAUUGUUUUUAAUACCAUCUUAGACUUGUAAUCAGAUCAUUCAAUAAUCAUAUUGCUGCCAAAAAGUAAAAAUGGCAUCCAGCAACAUCUCUUAAGCAGCAGAAAAGGUGCAUGGGAUUAUGCAUUCAUGCUUCAAAUAGUAGGGAACUUGGUUGAUUAAUGUGCCAUGACCUUCUAUAGACAUGAUUUCUUUUGUGGAUUUCCUCUUCUUUUUCAUUGAUCUGCAGCUAAGCUUUCUCCUUCCUUUUCAUUUACUCAAGAUUUCACUGUAAUUGUGUGAUGAACAGUGCUUUUCACGAUAUGGCUUUUUGAAGAAAUGCCAAUCUUUUUCUGUGUGAUUCUGUGUAAGCUGCAAAUUGACAUCUUUUUCUUUGCAACAGAGACAUGUUGGAAAAUAUGCUUCAUGCUACUUCGCAAUAUACUCCCAGAUUCUCUUAUCUACCAAAGAGAGAAUUGCUUUACAUUUCCUUUUGUUCAUUUCUUUCUUGAUGAGGUUUCAAAUAAUUUGAGAUUCUGUAUUCAAUACGGAGUUCUAAAAAGAGAACAGAGAUGCUACCAAUCUAUAUAACUCACAACUUGAUAGUUCACUGGAAUAUUAUGAAAAGAAAAAGGUUGAUCAGAAUAAGCAGCUGCCUGAUGGUUUUUCGUGAUGGUUCUACGUUCAGGAUUAACUCGAGAGAUAGCCUAUGCCUCACCGUGAAAAUGACAUGGAACGCAAAGUGUAAAAAGGGAUGAACUUAGAAAGAGACAACUUCCGGCCAAAGAUGCAUCAGAUCAGAAACCAGGAUAUCCAAAAAUGUUAUGCUCGCCCCCCUGCCCAAGAACGAAUCCAGAGCCAAUACAGAGUCGGAUGUUUGCAUGCCUGUGUUGUUGAUUUUGGAACUCUAUACUGCCAAUAUCUUGUAACUUUUUCUUCUAUGUCACAGCAAUAACAGGCAAACAGCUUCCUUUUCAAGGCUACAACAAAACCAGCCAUAUCAUGCUGCUAAUAAUAAUACUCCUCUUGGAACCAAAUCAAUCCAUGCCUUUCAAAAAAUAUUGCAACUCUGGAUUUUGAAGAAAAGCUGCUAAUGACUGAAAUGCGAUUGGUUUGUCCAGAAGCUAAUUCCAUGUUUGUUCUGUAAGUUGUGUUUCCUGGAAGCAAUUGCUGAUGGUGACCCUCGUUACUUGAUUUAGAACCUGUCUGUGAAUGUGGCACCCAAAGUAUCAAAAUGAUGCUUUGGGUGCGUUUAAGAAUGCCAACCGUGUUUACAAAAAAAAUUAUUAUUUUUAAAUUAAUAUAUUUUUAAUGUUUUUGGAAUAGUUCAGUGCUCUAAUAUAAAAAAAUAUAUAUUUUUUUAAAAUAAUAAUAUUAUUUUAAUGUAAUUUUUAAUAAAAAAUAAUUUUAAAAAUAACCACAAUUAUACUUUCAAUCACACAAUUAAUGCAUUUAAAGAAUUAAGGUCAAUCUCCUACUCUACUUUAGCCAUUUUCUCGAUGUCCCACUUGCAUCUCUACUAAUGUUAAUGUGCUUUGAUGUACUAGUUACCGACAGAAAUCAAUGUAAUUUAAUUAGCAACUCCUCUUUCUAUGAGAAGCUCAAGAUCCUUAGUGGCUUAGUGCAAUUUUCCUUUGAAAUUAAAGUGCAAAACUGAAUAACCCCUCUACCAUUUUCGAAUUGAAAAUCGUAAACACUGUCAAAAGCCAUUGAAUUAUAUGACUUGAUAAAUUUACGACUGCUUUGUAAAACCUUCAAGGCCAAAUAAAUUCAUCUUGUGAAUUGUAUAACUUGUUAAAUUUAGGACUGUCUUGGAAUUUGGUAUCAAGAUCAAGGGAGUAAGGUGAAAAUUAAGGACAUUAUCAACAACGACUGGUCUAAAACAGGGGCAAAGUCAACUGUUUUCUUGACAUCUCAUUGUCUGUAUUCUGUAAUUAAUUUUCUUCUCGCUUUCUGCUAGUUCUUUGGCAAAGAUCAACAGCAUGGCUCUGGCUUUGAUUGGAGAAUCACUUCUCUCUGCUGUUAUUGAGGUUUUGGUCGAGAAGUUGGCCUAUCCUGAGGUUCUGGGAUUCUUCAAAACGCAAAAACUCAAUGAUGAUCUUCUGGAAAAGUUGAAAGAAACACUGAAUACUGUCAGCGGACUGCUAGACGACGCGGAGGAGAAGCAGAUUACAAAGGCUGCUGUGAAGAACUGGCUUAAUGAUGUUAAACAUGCUGUCUAUGAAGCUGAGGACUUGCUGGAGGAGAUUGAUUAUGAACAUCUACGAUCCAAGGACAAAGCUGCCUCUCAAAUUGUCAGGACUCAGGUAAGCACUACUUUGAAUCUUCUUCCAAGGAAAAUUGGAUAAACUAUUAGUAAAACAGAAGUUAUCCUUUACAUCAAAUGUUACUUUUAAAGCUGUCUAUUCUAAAAUUUAUUUCACGUUUCAUGAUUGAAGGUCGGGCAGUUCCUUCCAUUUCUUAAUCCAACUAACAAAAGGAUGAAAAGGAUAGAAGCAAAGUUAGGAAAGAUUUUUGAGAAGCUUGAACGUUUAAUCAAGCACAAGGGUGACCUUCGCCGGAUAGAAGGUGCUGUUGGAGGUGGACCGUUGUCAGAGAAGACAACUCCUCUAGUUAAUGAAUCUUAUGUUUAUGGUAGGGAUGCUGACAGGGAAGCCAUAAUGGAAUUGUUGAGACGGGAUGAAGAAAAUGACCCGAACGUAGUUGUGAUUCCUAUAGUGGGAAUGGGAGGGAUUGGAAAAACCACUCUAGCUCAGCUUGUCUACAAUGACAGCAGGGUAGAAGAUUUGUUUGAACUCAAGGUUUGGGUUUGGGUUUCUGAGAUUUUCGAUGUAACAAGAGUGAUGGAUGAUAUUCUUAAGAAGGUCAAUGCAAGCGCUUGUGGCAUCAAAGAUCCUGAUGAAUCUCUGAAGGAGGAAUUGGGGGGGAAAAUGGUUUUGCUUGUUCUAGAUGAUGUGUGGAAUAUUGAGUACAGUGAAUGGGACAAAUUACUGCUACCUUUGCAGUAUGCAGGGCAAGGAAGUAAGACUGUGGUAACAACACGGAAUGAAGGUGUGGCGAAAGUGAUGCAAACUGUUAACCCUUCUUACUCAUUGAAAGGAAUAGGCGAUGAAGAUUGCUGGCAGUUGUUUGCAAGGCAUGCAUUUAGCGGUGUAAAUUCCGGUGCACUCCCACACUUGGAAGCAUUUGGCAGAGAAAUAGUGAGAAAGUGCAAAGGUCUACCUCUGGCUGCGAAAACUCUCGGUGGUCUUCUGCACUCUGAAGGAGAUGCCAAGGAAUGGGAGAGGAUAUCGAAAAGCAACAUGUGGGGUUUGUCAAAUGAAAACAUCCCUCCGGCUCUAAGAUUGAGUUAUUAUUAUCUCCCAUCACACCUAAAACGUUGUUUUGCUUACUGUGCCAUAUUUCCUAAGGGUUAUACAUUUAUGAAGAAAGAAUUGAUCACCUUAUGGAUGGCAGAGGGUUUUUUAGUCCAGUCUAGAGGCGAUGUGGAGAUUGAAAGAAUAGGUGAGAAGUACUUUGAUGAACUUGUCUCAAGGUCAUUUUUCCAGAAAUCAAGCGAUGAUCCGUCAAGCUUCAUCAUGCAUGAACUCAUAAUUGAUUUAGCCGAAUACGUAUCAGGAGAAUUUUGCUUGAAGUUUAUGGGAGAUGGAGAAUCAGGCUCUAGGUUGAAGGGUGGAAAUCCAUUCAGGCUUCCUGAAAGGACUCGUUAUUUAUCACUCACUUCAAGAUAUGAUCAAGUAUCCAAGAUAUUUGACCACAUUCAUGAAGUCAAACAUCUGCGCAACUUCUUGUUAGUGGCACCUGGGUGGAAAGCUGAUGGCAAGGUAUUGCAUGACAUGUUGAGAAUUCUCAAGCGUUUGCGAGUACUGUCAUUUGUUGGGUCUGGUUAUAUACAUCAGUUUCAGCUACCCAAUUCCAUCGGCAACUUGAAACAUCUGCGAUAUCUAGACCUUUCCGGUAAAUCAAUAGAAAGGCUGCCUGAAAAUAUGAGCAAACUGUACAAUUUGCAAACAUUAAUCUUGAAGCAGUGUUACUAUCUCAUCAAUUUGCCAACCAACAUGUCCAAACUGGUAAACUUACAGCAUCUCGAUAUCGAAGGGACAAAACUGAAAGAGAUGCCACCCAAAAUGGGAAAACUCACAAAGCUUCGAAAGUUGACAGAUUUCUUUUUGGGAAAACAGAAUGGGUCCUGCAUUAAAGAGUUGGGGGAGCUCUUACAUCUUCAAGAGAAGCUUUCUAUUUGGAAUCUCCAAAAUGUUGAGGAUGUUCAAGAUGCUUUGGAUGCCAAUUUGAAGGGUAAGAAGCAGAUUGAGAGGUUGAGGUUGACAUGGGAUGGAGAUAUGGAUGGCAGAGACGUACUUGAGAAAUUGGAGCCUCCUGAAAAUGUGAAAGAGCUUGUUAUUACUGCUUAUGGGGGUACAAAGUUUCCAGGUUGGGUUGGAAACUCUUCUUUCUCAAAUAUGGUGUCUUUGGUUCUUGAUGGAUGUAAGAACUCCACCUCCUUACCACCACUUGGGCAGUUGCCAAAUCUUGAAGAGCUCCAAAUUAAAGGAUUUGAUGAAGUCGUGGCUGUUGGUUCUGAGUUCUAUGGAAUUGGCCCUUUCAUGGAGGAGCCGUUUAAAUCCCUUAAAAGUUUAACAUUACUGGGGAUGCCACAAUGGAAGGAAUGGAAUACAGAUGCAGCCGGUGCUUUCCCUCAUCUUGAAGAGCUUUGGAUAGAAAAAUGUCCGGAGUUAACAAAUGCCUUGCCUUGCCACCUUCCUUCUCUGUUGAAACUUGACAUUGAAGAAUGUCCACAGCUUGUGGUUUCAAUUCCAAAGGCUCCCAAGCUCACCAGAAUCCAGGUCAAUGACGGUGAGGGUUCUAAUGAUCGUAUAUAUAUAGAGGAAUUAUCUAGUUCUAGGUGGUGUCUUACCUUUAGAGAAGAUUCUCAACUAAAGGGAUUGGAGCAAAUGAGUUACCUUUCCUCUUCUAUAAUCAUAGACGUUGGCAUCUUCGAUUGCAGUUCGCUCAAGUUUUGUCAGCUAGACCUUUUACCCCUGUUAUCCACCUUUACAAUCCAAUAUUGUCAAAAUCUUGAGUCACUUUGCAUACAAAAGGAACAGCAGGCUCUCCGUCAUAUGAAAAUUGCAGAAUGUCCUAAUUUAGUAUCUUUUCUCGAAGGAGGAUUGGCUGUCCCACAUUUGAGAAGGCUUGAGUUAGAGGGUUGCAUAAAUUUGAAGUCGCUGCCAGGAAACAUGCAUUCCCUCCUUCCUUCCCUCGAGGAAUUGGAACUGAUCUCACUUCCACAGCUUGAUUUCUUUCCAGAAGGGGGUUUGCCAUCUAAGUUAAACUCACUUUGCAUCCAAGAUUGUAUAAAAUUGAAGGUCUGUGGUUUGCAAUCUCUCACUUCUCUUUCACACUUCCUAUUUGUUGGGAAAGAUGACGUGGAGUCCUUCCCUGAGGAGACGCUGCUGCCCUCUACUCUUGUAACCCUUAAAAUCCAGGAUCUGAGAAAUCUGAAAUCUUUGGAUUACAAGGGGCUUAAGCACCUUACCUCUCUUAGCAAGUUGGAGAUCUGGAGAUGUCCUCAGAUUGAGUCCAUGCCAGAAGAGGGGCUGCCCUCCUCCCUCGAGUACCUUCAACUCUGGAAUCUGGCAAAUCUGAAAUCUCUAGAGUUCAAGGGGCUUCAGAACCUCACCUCUCUUCGCCAAUUGAUGAUCAGUGAUUGUCCUAAGCUUGAGUCCAUGCCUGAAGAGGGGCUUCCCUCCUCUCUUGAAUACCUUAACAUCCUGAACCUGACAAAUCUGAAAUCUCUGGGCUACAAGGGGCUUCAGCAACUCUCCUCUCUUCACAAAUUGAAUUUCUGGAGUUGUCCUAAGCUUGAAUCCAUGCCAGAACAGGGACUGCCCUCCUCCCUUGAAUAUCUUGAAAUUGGAGAUUGUCCUUUGCUAGAAAAAAGGUGUCGGAAGGAGAUAGGCGAAGAUUGGCCCAAGAUUUCUCACAUCCCCUUCAUAAAUAUUCAAGCAUUCAGGAGGACAAGAAAUUGAGCAGGAACAGUCUUCUGUCAUUCGCGCUACAUAUCUACUAAUUUAUCAGCUUUGCAUAUGUGGUGUUAUAAAUUCUUGAGAUUCCUCGUGUCACUAAUGGCUAGUCAUGGAGCAUUGUAUUUUCACAAAAACAAGGUCUAAUCGUCAUGCACUCAUGUUGUUAAUGUACUCCAUUCCAUGUUUUGCUAUAAACAAGGUGUCUGCUUUCAUUGAAAAUGACACCAAGUGGUUGAUGCUGUCCUUGUUCGUGCUCUGCAGAACCUGUCAUUUUUUUUGGUUUUAAGCUAAUCAUUUGUCAAACUAAGUUCCUUGAAUUCAUUGUGAAUACCUUUGUUAAUAAUAUUAUUGACCUGUGAUUCCUUUCAUGGAGAUAAUCAGAUCAUCAUCAGGCUGCCAGCCAUAGGUUCCUAUCACAAUUUCUCUUCUGUAGCAAGUUGCGUGAAGCCUACUUGAUUAAUUGAGAUAUGAACUUCUACGAGACAUGCCUUCUCUUUUGAGCGGCCUGCAGCUGGGGCUCUCCAGCUAGCUUAUCAACAGGGGGAAAAAGCUUAAUUUGUAACUUGUCUGCCAUCAUAAGACAGUAAAGUGUGUCGCCACCUGAGCACCACCAGCCUUAGCCUUUGAUUUCAGCAACUGUCGUACCCUUGCAAGACCAUUCCCGGAGCGGGAAAUUGAUUUUGGGGUCUUUGUUUUAUAAAAAAAAGAGUUGUCACAUAUUAUUAUGGUUACUAGAAAACCUAACUGAUAUUUCAGAGAUUCUAAGGCAAAGGACUAGUUGUAUAAAAGGAAGGUUUUAGCACCCCUAGUAUGCCUUACAUAUAUAAGAUAAGCUGCUUGGUGUUGGAUGUGCCUUAUAAUUACUAUGGUGUUGAUGUUCUCUAAUCCCAUCAGUUUCUUAGGAUAAGUCUGCUCUGAUGAACGAACUUGGGUUCAAAGUCUAAGGGGAAAGAACCAUUGGCCAACACGGAUGAUACCUUUAGAUAUGUCUAUAAAGUUUUAAAGAGAAACGAUGCAGAUCUCUUGAAGUCUAUGUUUGAUUUGAAAUAAAUUUAAAAUUUAUGAAUUUAGAAACAACCAAAAUACAAAUUUAAGGAGAUUUAAUGUGCUUAAAAGCUCAAUUUCUUUUAGUAUUUCAAGUAUUUGCGACUUGUAAAUCGCAAGGAAUAGAAACAACAAAAACCAAGUUAAAAAUUUAAGGAAAUUCAAUGUGCUUUAAAAACUUAUUUUUGCCUUAGUAUUUUAUAUUUUCAUGACUCAUAAACUGUGGAAUUAAAAAUUUAAAAUGUCUCAAAUUAUAAUUGAGGCUUCUUUCAAGGAUGUACAAUUAAAUUGUUCUAAAUAAAAUUUUAGGCAUAAAACUGCCCUUAUAUUAAAAAUAAACAAGUUGUAUUCCUAUUAACAAUAUUCUGGCCAUUUACCUUUCAUAGGUUUUUUGCCCUUAUAUUAUUAAGGGACAAUGGCUUGUUACUCCUAGAAUUUUUUUUUUUUUUUAUAUUAACCACUUGGGGUUUUUUUAUCCAAAUAUUAAUAGUGAUUAAUAACAAAUUAUUCCUAAUAAUCCUUUGAAUAUUUACCCUUUUAGGAUUUCUUUAUCCAAACAUUAAUAGUGAAUAUAGACGAAUUCCUAAAAAUAAAAUUUUUAUAUUUUUGGAAUAUUAGCCAACACUCUUUGAAAUUUACAAACACGUUGUAAAACCCAAGGUGCAGAAAAUAAAUUUUUUUUGUGUGUUUUAAGAAAUCCAUGCUAAAACAUAUUUUUUGAAACCUUGAAUAUUUGCUUUUUUGAAUUUUUUUUUUAAUAUAUUAGGGUAUUGUCCGUAUGCAAAAAAAAAAUUAUAUUUUGAUUAAAAACACUAUUUAUCACAACAAUGAAAUGCAAAUAUCAUAGUUGAAGCUAGCAAAACAUCACAAGAAUAAGUUUGUCAUAUGGAGGGAUCAAAGUUCUGAAACUAACCUUUUAAACUCAAAACGAUAGCUAAUCGCAACAAUUAACACAAGCAUCUGGUCAAAAUUAUUAAACCAUCUCAAGAAUAAACUUGUCACGUGAGGCCAAAGUUAUGAAAGCAACAUUUUAAACUCAAAAUCAUACGCCAGUGCCAGUGCCCCCAAAACCCCUCCUCUAUUAUCCUAAAUUUUGAACACUGCCAUACUCGUGAAAGAAAAGAAACUUGAGGGGCAUACUUUCAUCCUAUGUAUUAGUAACCAAUGGCCAGCUAUCUUGUUUUUUAAAAAAGGAAAACGUGAUCUGAGAGUCUAAAGAAGAAGAACCCCGACUGAAAAGGAAACUUCCCUCAUGCCUUUUUUACUUUCCCGUCCCAAAACUUCCCUCAUGUUAUGUACUUUCUUCACUAGCCAAAAGCUUUGUUUUUUUUAAAAAAACUUCUCCUCCUGUGAUAGUCUGUAGCUCCUGCUUGCAGCAAAAAAAAUGAAGGCAAGGCAGGAUAGAUUAAAGUUAACCUCUUCUCUUUCAUUGUUUCCUAUUAUUUUUACUCUUAAGCCUUCUUCUUGUUCUCUCAGCUCUCUCCCUUUCCUUUCCUCUCUAUUUUCCCCUUCUCUUCUAUUUUCGUUGUUUCCUCCCUCUGUUUUUUCUGUUCGUUUUUCUUCUCUGUUUUUGGACUUUCUCUGUAUCCCCUACUCACUUUGUUUUCUCUUCUUCUUCCCCACAUAAAAAGCUGCACUUCUAAACCACUACCAUUCCUAUGUAACAUUCCUCAACAAGGAGACACUCGAGCAGAGAGAGGAAGAGGCAAUGAAGACCUUUAACUCACGGUCUAUCAAAGUAAUAAACCAAGAAAGGAGCAUGCAGCUUUAACAUGACAGUAACCCCACUAAAAAACAUGGAAGUAACAGUGAGCAAGCACAAACCCUUUUUGUUCAAACAAAAAAAAAACUGAACAUCUAGAGCGAAGCGGGAAAUAGAUUUUGAAAAAAAAAAAACAUGCAAAUAGAUGUCAGGUUUAAAUACAGCAAGGAGAAAAAACUGGAAACUAUACUUGCGAAUGCUGAUGGUCUGAGUGCAGAAGAUGAGUGUAGGUAAGUGAAAAAAAGUUUUGCUUUUUUGCCUCCGAAAACUAAAGAAAGCCUUCCUCUUUUUGCAGUUGGGAGUUUUAGAAAACCCGUAGAUUUGAUGAACUCCUUUUUGACAAUCUAGGAUAGACUGGAGAUAAUUUUCCUCUCAUUCUCUUUGUUUUUCUAUCCUAGCCCCCUUUGUUUUUUUUCUCCUCCUCCUCCCCUUUCUUUUUUUUUUCUUUUUUCUUUUACAAAGCAGUUUGUUAUAUAUGCAAGAACUGGAGACCACCCUCACAUUCUCUCAUCUCCACCAUGUGUGUUAGGGAAACAAUCCCAGCCCUUAGAUGAUGAUGAAGCUCCUUUUUAUGUUUUCUUUCACAGCUGGCACAGUGAGGUGCAAAAUGAUUUCCCUUAGACUGGAGCUCUGAGUUGUAGCUGCACAUUCGGCAUGAAAAGGGGGGUUUUCCUAUACAUGCUAGGUUGUAGAGGGUGCAAGGACGAGAGGUUUCAAAAAAUUAGCAGCGAAUCGUUGCAGAGGGGCGGUAUUGUUCUGAAAAAUGCAAAUAAACAAUGUCAUAACAGGGUUGUUUCAAAACAGUGCCGCUUCUUUUUUCAGCUGAAGAAAGAAAAAAAACAAUGCGAAGUAAUGUAUGAUGACGUCGUUUGUAUUGCUGAAAAAAAAUAAGGCAAAGGUAAACACAGCAGCAGCCACGUAAUUCAUGGUGGCAAAUUUUUCUGUCAUUUGUUGGUCCUAUCCUAUUUUUCUAUUUCUUUAAAACCCAGUCAAGUUUCUUCCAAUUUAUAUAGGCAAUUAACUCCCUUAUUUCAGUUUUUUUUUUUUCAAUUCAGUCCUAUAAACUUGGGGGGCAAAAUCUUUCCUGCAGUAGAAUUUUUGUUUCCUCAUUAGAUAUUCAAAUGUCUUCUAAUAUUGAAAUCAAGUGAUUCAAUAACCUAAAUUCAUCUAUACAUGUAGGACUAUAACUUUCAUGAAGGAUUUGAGGUGAGAUAAAAUUGUUUUACAGAACAGAAUCGAGCUGCAAUCUAGUUGGUAAAAAUAGUCUCCUGAUCUGAUAAAAAAACUAACAAAUGCCGAGCAUCCCGAUAUGACUGAGAGUAUAACCUAAAAAUAAAGACCAGCACAAUCAUAAUGGAAGCAAAGCCUUUAGUGCAAAAUUUGGGUCAGAAUCCUGCUGCUGACCUGCUCGCAACAUAAUUCUUUACUUUCGCUUUGAGAUAUUCAAACAAGGAUAUCUUGAGCUUCUGAUAUCGAAAUCAAGCAAUUCAAAAACCAAAAUUCAUUUACGUAUAUAGCACUAAAACUUUCAUGAAGGAUUAAGAAUGAGAUAAAUUUAUUUUGAAGUACAGAAAUUGGCUGCAACCUGGUUGGUAAAAAAUGAUCUCCUUAUCUAAUUCAGGAAACUGACGAUGCCAAGCAUCCUACUUUGACUGAGAGUCUGCCAUAAAAAUAGCAAGCCCUAGGUCCCAAUAAAGGUGUAGGUCAAUUCUUCAACAUGUCAUGAGUGACAGAAUAUAGUCGGGAUGGUCGGAUAUUGCACGAAACCAAAUUAGAAUCAAAACCUAAGUUGGAACAAAAAAUUACGACAACAACAGAAUCAAUUUUUUAGUGAAACUUCUAAGGGAUUUAUCCAACCUUAGAGAUCAGAUAACAAAGAAAUGAAUUUAGCAUUUUAAAGACUCCUAAUUAGCCUAAGAAUCCUGACAAUUUUGGCAAUAAAGGGGAAGGAUAAGGAGAGUAGAUGCCAGUUGAAACAUUGUUCGAAAAACAUUUCCUUUUCCUUUGUUUUUGUCAAUCUCCCAGCAACCUUGAACUAAACUCCUGUCUUCAAUUUAAAGGGGAUAUACACCAUCUCCAUUAGCAUGUAUGGCUCAAAAACAUGAGUAACAACUGUAACUAUGCUGAACAAAGUUUUGGUGAUGGUACUGUACUAAUGUAAUGUAUAUCACUUAUUGCUUGAUCAUUAACUGGAAUUUAUGAGACAUUAAUAAACAGCUCUUGAUAAUAGAAUUAUUUUUCGUGAUGGUUCUGAUUAAGCUCCACAGAUGGCCUAUGCAUCAAGUUGAAAACGAUGGUGAGCGCAGCGCAAAGUGAAGGGAAGAGUUAAGCUUCGAAGAGACGGCCUGGUGAUGUAGCAGAUCAGACGCCAGGAUAGCCAAAAUGGUCGCUGUCCGCAUUAAAGAUCCAAGGUUCUGGACCGAGUUGGAUUUUCACUUGCCUGUAUUGCCAAUAUUUAGCCACAUUUUUCUGUCACAACAAUAACAAGAAACGAGGUAUCGUACCUAUCUUCAUAUUCAUAUUUUCUCACAUUCUAAAGCGGCCUGAACUAUGAAAAUCGAGCUAGAAAGGGAAAUUGGGCAAGGGUUUAAAUGAAAAAGACAAAAUCCAUAUAUAUAAAUAAUAAGUUUUUCAGUGUUUGAGAUAAUGGUCAAUAUAUUUAGAUAAUUCAUUUUCUUCUUUUUAGAUCGAGGAACCCAUAGUAGAAGAUUGAGUAUAUGCAAAAACAACUUCAAUCAUGAGACUUAAAAAUAUUUUGAUGAUAAAGUUAGUAUUUUUACGAGAAAGGUAAUAAAUAGCUUAAAAAAACUUUAAAUUCAAGGAACAAAGAUGUUUAUUCUUGAGUUUUAAUUUGGUUAAUGCUUUAAAAUAUAUUCAAGUUUUUUUAAGAGAUAAAAAGUUUUGAGCCCUUACCUAGAGAUAUUUAUAACCCCUCAACCUUAUCCUUUUUAAAGAAAAGAAUGACUAAAAGAUCAUUUGCUUUUGGUGACAUUAAUAAGAAACAAACAUCUUUUACAUAUUAUUAAUAAGAUAAUAAGUGUGAUUGAUCCAUUUAAAGACUUUUUGUACACUUAUGAGUAUAGCGAGAUCAUUACCUCAAAUAUGAAUGACUCAUAUAAUUAUUCUACAUAGAGAGAUAUUACAGUUUAUUAUACCUAUAAUACUUUUAAUCUAAGAAAUUAUCUUGAGCCUUGACAUAUAGCUAUAGAACUUUGUAGUUUUUGAAUCCAUAUCUCUUGAGUCUAGCAAGUUCUCCAAAUCCAUAUUACCUUAGGUUUGGUUAGCUAUUAAACUCAAGUGUUUUGAAUCUGACAUAUUUAUUAGAUCCAUGUCAUUUUAAAAUCAUUUUUAAAUUUUUAAAAAGUAAAUUUAAAUUAUUAACUCAUAAAAAAGGGCUUGAGAUAAAUCACUUUAAAAUCAAAAUAUAAACGUAAACCAAAAUAAAAAUCACUUUAAAAUCAAGUUCUGAAAAGAUACUAAAAAUGAAAAAAAAAAUCUAGGAAAACAUAGGCCUAAACGAUGGAUUUGGGGGGUCCGAAACAACAGAUGGUUGCCCUUUUUGAAUUGGGUAAUUUGCGUCAUUUCGACACCCGUAACAAAAGGACUCUGACUACUGUUUCAGCCAUCCUUGUGCUGGUCUGCCCUGUUAACAUAGUCCAGUGCCAUCAACUCUGUAUCCGGCAACUCAGCUCCUUUAGAAUCUCUUGCAUCACUUUCUCAAUGCCAUAACAAAUUUUACAUUUACCUGAUUGCUUCUCUUCCCUCCUCCUGUUUUCUAACAUAGUUGGUUGAGAAUCCGAGAUAAGUACUUUGGCAAAUGCAAAAUGAUACGAAACAAAACUUCAUGUAUACCAAGCCUGAAUGGUAGUUUGAAGACAGAGGUUGAACAGACUUGGCUUCAUGGUUCAUUCAAAAGAAGUUCAACCUCAACGGGAGAAAGAACCACAACACUUGGGAGUAGAUCAGUUAUUACUUGAUGACAGUAGAGAUUGAUCACUCUCCAGAAAUGAGACAGCAGAUCUUCAUUGCACAGACCAUUCCUAACUUUCAUUUCUUAUUUUUUUUCAAUAAGGUUUCGAAUAAUUACGGAUUCUGGAUUCAAAGCAGAUGGUAUAAGAGCUUUAAUUUUCAUGACUGUUCUGUGUUCAGGACUAAACUCGAGAAAUGGCCUGUGCUCGGGGUGAAUGCGAAAUCAAGAAAGGGUAAAACAAACAGACAACCACUGGUCAGAGUCGCAGAGACCAGGAAAUCCAAAAUGACAUAUCUGGUCCCCGUCGAAGCAACAAUUCAGAGCUGCAACAGAAGAGAUCUUGACAGAAUCGGAUGUUUGCUUGUACUUUGGAACUCUGUAUUGCCAAUAUUUUGCAACAUAAUUUUUUUCUGCAACAGAACUAACAAAACGAGCCCUCCUAACACAGUGUUCUUUGCCAAAAUCCAUUUGAAGAGAGGUGUUGUAUUCUACUGGUCUAGGUGCCAAAACCACUGUAUUUGUGCUUUAAAAUAGAAGUACACUACACAGGUGAACGAUAAAUUUACCUCUCUAUCUCUCUCUGUUUUCUGAUUUUACAACAGUAUCAAGAAUUCUGAUAACAGCUUAGCUUUAAUUAUCACCAAUCAUGACUUUCAAUGGAUGCUCUCGAAUUAAAGAUCCUUGAUAGUGCAGUUUUUCACAUGAAAGUGCAAAGCUAUAAAAUCCUCCAUCCCUUUUGAGUUACAAAGCAUAAACAAUAUUGUCAAAACCAAAAACUAAAUUAGAAAAUCACACAUGGAAUGAGAAAUUUGUAAUUUGAUCCCACAACUUAGCCUUUCCUUCAAUUAUACAUCAAAAGCCCUCUUCUUCCUCUAUAAUUCUUACCUUUCCUUUCACUACAAAUUUAACAACAAUAACAGUAUUUCAAGGCAAAGACUCCUCUUGGCUUUCCUCAUACCCCUCCUGGCUCUUAUACUCUUCCAUGGUGUUGAAUUCGUUAGGGUUCUCAUCAUUUCCAUAAGAACCUUGAUUUUGAGUGCUUACCUUCCCUGACUCAUACUUAUUAGCAGGAUAAUAAUUCUCAUUCUUCACGUUGUAAGAGUACUUUCCACCCUCCAUAAAUCCUGUGUCACUCAUCCCUUGUCUCUUAGUCUCAUAGCGGGUGUAGUCAUUGUCACUAUUCUGAUUGCCUGCUUCAUAGCUUUCACCAGCUAGUUUGUAGCCAUUAUUGUAGUACUUGUUGGUGUAGCCUUUGUUGUUGUAGUUGUUUGUGUUGUAAUUGUUGCUGUAACCAUUCUCACUAUUCUGGUUGCCUGCUUCAUAGCUUUCACCAGCUAGCUUGUAGCCAUUAUUGUAGUACUUGUUGGUGUAGCCGUUGUUGUAGUUGUUUGUGUUGCCAUUGUUGUUGUAGGUGUUGGUGUAGCCAUUCUCACUGUUCUGGUUGCCUACUUCAUAGCUUUCACCAGCUAGCUUGUAGCCAUUAUUGUAGUACUUGUUGGUGUAGCCGUUGUUGUUGUAGUUGUUAGUGUAGCCAUUGUCACUAUUCUGAUUGCCUGCUUCAUAGCUUUCACCAGCUAGUUUGUAGCCAUUAUUGUAGUACUUGUUGGUGUAGCCAUUGUUGUUGUAGUUGUUUGUGUUGCCAUUGUUGCUGUAGCCAUUCUCAGUAUUUUGAUUGCCUACUUCAUAGCUUUCACCAGCUAGUUUGUAGCCGUUAUUGUAGUACUUGUUGGUGUAGCCAUUGUUGUUUUGAUUACCUGUCUCAUAUCUAGCACUACCAAGUUUGUAGCCAUUGUUGUUGUUCUUGUUGUUGUAGUUGCUCCUCUCGUAACCAUUAUUGUUGUAAGUGCUAGUAUAGCCAUUGUUGUUGUAGUUGUUGUUUUCAUACUUCUGGUCAGAGGUUACACCAUCAAGUUCUUCGUUCAAAAGCUCAUUUUCAUCAGCAUAAGUGGUGGUGGUGGUUGAAGUCUCCUUAGGAGGGAACAUUCCUGAGCCCUCACCGAAAAGUCCAUGGCCCUUUUCACUCUCGCCGAACACCGGUGCUGGUGCUGGUUCUGGAACAUCUUGUAACGAUGCUGGUGAUGGUGCUGGUGCUACUGUAGGUGCUUGAAUUGGUACUGACAAAAUGGUGAUGGGCCCUUUCUUACCAUUCUCUUUUGUGAUGCUAUAGUGUCUCGUGAACUUGCUAAAGAACAUGCUCUCUCUAGCCUGGAUAGAGGAAAACGUCACUAGCAAACAGAAGAAAAAUAGAUGCUUAUCCAGAGAAGCCAUUAGAGAAAUGACUUCAAGAUUAAAGAUGAAGUUUAUUAGGUUCUUGGUGGUGUGUUGAAGUCUCAUUUCCCUAAGUCUUUUAUAGACUAUUGAGUAUUGGAUCCCUUAGCAGGCCGUGCAAUUAUGCGUGGAUUGAGGAAAGGGGAAAUUGUGGGGUAGAAAAUCAUGGCACACAGUGCCUGCUGCAUGUGCCUUCAUUGAGACUGUCUAGCAAAAGAGGGCACCAAAUCUCUAGCAGGAAAAAGAAAAAUACAGAUGCAGUUCCUAGUCAAAAAGGGGAUAUUUGCUUUUCUAGCUAACGAAGAAAAUAAGACACUCUCUUUUGCUUUCAUGGAAGGGCAAUGUGGAAUUGAAUUUGGGGUCCUCAAUCGAUCACUCCUUGGCGGUUGAAUUAGUUAGGGUUCAUCUAGAAAAGUGAGGAACUAACGAGCGGUGGUAGGGCACAUUUCAUUAUUACUGUUACUUAAUUUGGUUUGGUCUUCCUUCUCUACUACGAGUGUUGGCACUUUAUGGCUUUGUGAAUAUAGUAAUUCUUGUCUCCUUUUUUCGAAGUUCCUGAGAGAUAUUGCUUUGACAGUUUUGCUCUGGAUAUGGAGGUAAUAUUGGGAUUCAAGAAUUGUGGGCUUUUAUUGCCAUAACAUUUCCUUCUUUUUUUUUUUAAUUAGACCCGGUUUACAUGGGUCAACUUGGAACUAGUUGUCUCGGCCAAAUUAAGGUUUCAAAUUAAAUCAGACGAGAUAAUUCAAUGAGUCAACAUGCUCAAUCAAUCUAAUCAAAAUUCAACUUAAUUUUUCUUAGAACUACAUCGUUUUAAUUUUUUUUUAAAACAACACUAUUUUAAAAUGAUAUGAAUUAACCCACCAAAUUCAUAAUUCAAAUCUGUUUCCAUGCACAUGCCAUGCCUUUUUCUAAUAAUUUGAUCCGAGCUGAAUACUUAAAGCAAAAUGUGUCUAUUUAUUGAUGUUAAAGUAAAGCAAAUGCAAAGAGUAUCGAUAACUUGAAUUGCGAGCUCACGUAGUUAUUCAUUAAAAUGGGAGAUGGAGAAUUGAAAAGGCUGUUUAAAUUCUCAUGAAUACCAUUUAUGAUUGGUCCCUAACACCUCAAGAAACCCAAACCCAUCUACUUUCCGGAUUAUGAUUAUAUAUGUUAAUUGAAUUACUUUUCACGUUAUUAUUCAAAAAAAUGUUGAGAGAAAAAAAAAUCAUGAAUACACUGAUUCAAAAAAAUACACAAAAUUUAGCUCAAAAGUGAUAUAAAAAGACUUGGUUUAAAAAGUACAAAACCCAUGUUUUGUAAAUUUUUCUUAAUACAAACCACGAUGAUAAUGAUGAUGGGUCAUUUUAAUGUUUUUUUUUUUUUUUAAGUUCAAAUGAUAUAAUUUUUUUUUAGUUUAAAAACUAACCAAGGUUAAAUUCUUAGUUAGCGAACCACUAAAUUAACUUGUUAAUUUUGAGAGGUAGUUCAACUGAUAAGGUUUUGAGUUUGUUUUUUAAUAAUCACGAGUUCGAGUAUCAUCAUAACCACUAGAAUGUUACAUAGUCGUUACCUUCAAAAUCUAUACAAUUAAUCGAGAUACACGUAAAUUAAUUCAAAUACUCAUAUUAAUUAAAAAAAUUAACUUGUUAGUUCAGGUUUUAUUAUAAUUAUUAAAUGAAUAACACAUGCACAGUAGAAUCGAUUUUCAUGGAUGUAGCACCACAAUAUAUAUCGAAGUGUUAUAAUCUAAUGAGAUCGUCAUAUCUUGUUUGUUUUAGCUUGCAUUGCUAGAAGGAAUACUACUAUAUUACAUACAAAGUUAGGGUAAAAAAUUACAUAUAAACUACCCUAUAUAAUAUAAAAUAAAGUAGAGUAGACUUCACGACAGCUUUAUGUUUUUUUUUUUUUUUUUUUUGCUUUUGCUUACUAAGAAUCAAAAUAUUAAGGACCUUUUGAAAGAGUGAAAAGCACACAAGUCCAUGAGAUGGUAUUAAAUAUCUAAACAGGUUCUUGUGGCCCACGUGACCAAAUAUAAUUAGUGAUUAGUUAAGGACAUGUUUGACCGUUAUCUUUGACGAUGUCUCAAGUAAUGUAAAGAAAAUCAUUGGGUCAAUUUGCGUGAUGAUCGGAGCUCAGAUAUAGACUUUCCGACCAUUUUGUUUUUGUUUUUAUUGUUGAAGGAAUAAAUUUACAAUAGUUUGCUUUACAAAUUAAGAGAGUAUAAGCUUUGCAUAUAAUUAAAUAUUUAGAAUCUAGGUAUUAGAGCUAUUUAAGAGGUUACAUAAUUAUUAAUUUUAAAACCCGUAAAAUUUAUCGAAAUAUAUGCAAAUUAACUCAUAUAUCAAGUUAAUAAAAAUAAAAAAUAUUUAGAAUCUAGAUACCUGUUUAAUUGAAUCUUUUCUUCUUUUUUAUUAAAAAAGUAUAAUUUUGUUUUUUUUAUAAAUAUUAAAGUUAGCUAUGUUAGAUUUAUCAAAUCAACUCCAACUUGAAACUCAAAUUAAGUUAGAUUUGGAAUCAUGAAUUUUUAAAAUUCGAAAAUUAACUCACCUGGCUGGCAGACUGGGUUUAAUAACACCAUGGAUUUGCAUUUUUGCGUGUUAAUUGAAGGGAGAGAGAAGAAGGGUAAGGGAGAAGCAUGGACUGGGUUCCGAGGGAAAUUUCAUGGCUGAUGUACAUAUAAUGCAGGAUCAGUAGAAGAAGACAUGGAAGAUGUCUCGGAAAAAACAAAAGGGCUUCUUCUAAAUCACCUCACCAAGAAGUUUCUUCAGGCAAAGGGCCCUUUUCAAGGCAUUCCUACAAAUUGACAUCCUUUCCCUUUACGCAUCACUAUUUUUAUUUUUCUGGGGUGUUUGGGAUUUCAGCUGAACUUUUUUUUUAAUUAUGUUUUUUUAAUUAUUUUGAUGUGCAGUUGAUCUUUAUUUGUUAGGUAAUAGAUCUAAAUCAUUUUUUUUUUCUUGAGAACAACUUGAAACUGUAUUGAAAAGUGUAUGAAUUUGGUUUAUUGUCUUAAAGUUUUCGACACAAAAGAAGCACUGUAAGUUUUUUGAGGUGGGUUCUAAGGGAAAUUUCACGGAACGUGUGUGUGUGUCUAUAUAUAUAUAUUCUGGAUAAGUAAAGUAGCAUGGUGAGACAAGAACAAGAUACAGAAAGUCUCCAAAUGAAAUGGGCUCGUUUUAGUCUUUCACAUUGAUAGAAGAAGUUUCCUUUGACAAUGAGCCCAAUUUAAUGCUUUUUUUUUUUAAUUUUUUACCUUCUAAUUUUUAAAAUUAUUUCUCAUUUGAAAAAAAUUAUCAAUACAUACUUUUCAAGUGCUUUUCAAUGAUAAAAAAAUUAUUUUAAUAUAUUUUUAUUAAAAAAUAUAUUUUCAAAAGACACAUUACACCAUAUUUCCAAACACAGACUUAGACCAUGUUUUUUUUUAUUGUGGCACCGUGUUUUUUUUAGGGGGGGGGAAUGAUAUUUUUUGCUUCUAAGUCAAUUUGUUUUGUGUGUUUUUUGAUCUUUUUAGUAUGUUAAUAUUAAAAAUAAAAUUAAAAAAAUUAUUUUGAUGUAUUUUUAAUUGAAAAGUAUUUUAAAAAGCAAUCGCUACUAUAAUGUCAAACACUACCUUAAAGGUAUACUUGCAAAUUGAUAUAAAUUUUUCAUAUUAUAAUUAGUGAUAUUUUGUUAAUUAUUUUUUCAAGUUCAAUUUUUUUUUUAAAAAAAUAUAGAUACAAGGAUAAAAGAAAAGGCAUGAAGAUAUUUUUAUUAUUUUUCAUGGAUCUUGUAUUUGAUUUUCCUUCUUAUCAAUGUCUCUAUCUCUUUUUUAAAAAAUAGAUUCAAGAGAGUAAUUAAUACGAUGUAAUUAGUUAUUUCGACGCACCAUGAUUUUUUUUAUUUUUAUUUUAGUGUUUGCUUUCUUACCUGAAUUAUUAUUUAUUAUUUAUUAGUUAUUUUUCUUUUAUUGUAUGGUGAAGCUUGUUGUAUAACCAAUUAUACAUAAUUAUUUUAACUGUAUUAUUAUUUAAGAAACAUUUAUGAUAGCUACUCUUGGAUUUCCUAAAACUGUGUGAAUAUCUAUGUGUUUAAGUGGAUUGGGAGUACUCUCCAAAUUCAAAUAUUUCAUAAAAUAAUAAAAAUUGCAAUGUACAUGAAUAGAUUAAUUUGAAUAACUUCAAAUACUGAAUAAAAUUAUUUUGAAUCAAAUACUAUAUUUUUUAGAUCAUGUAUCAUAAAAAAAACUCAAACAUAUAUAUUUAAAUAAAUGAAUUAGAAUAAUAUUGGUAAAUCAACUAGGAAUUCAUGCUUAUAAUACAAUGUAUGAGAAGUCUAGCCCAUUAAAUGAUAGAACCAUAUUGUUUUUUUUUUUUUUCAUAUAUGUGAGGAAUUCAGGCAUGUUUUUCUCUUGUAAAACAUAAUUUAUCAAGUCUCUAAAAACUAAGAAAUAACAUUCUUGUUUUUUUAUAUUACCUGUCUUUUUUUUACAAUACUACAAUAAAUUCAUCAAUUUUAAUAUAUACAUGAAAUUUAACUUAAGAACAUUAUUUCUCCUAAUUGUAAAACAAAUAAUAAUAGUAAUAAUAAUAAUAAUAAUAAUAAUAAUAAUUUUAAAAACAUAUUUCUUAUAUUACUUUAAUAUAUUCAAGAACUGAUUUUAAGAUUUAAACUCAAUAAAUUAAAAAAUUGAGCAAACCUUUUUCAUUACAAUAAUCACAACACAAAACCAUUUCAAUUUGAGACCUAUUUUCAUGUCUUAUUCUCAUUAGAUUGAUUGAAUAUAGGGCAGGGUGGUAGACCCAAUCAAUCCACGAUUUCUCCUGCUUUGUGAGUAGAAAGACGACAUGAUGUUGUUUCCUACGCUAGAAAAUAAUUGAUGAUAAUUGUUUUUGUGACGUUGUUCACUGUAUAUUUAAACAGUUUACAAAUUAUUAUUUUUUAAUGGAGAAAUUUUUUUUUUAAAAAAAAAAUAGUAGAAGCUUGUUUAAUUUUAUGCAUAAGGAUUAAUCUAAUUAAUCCUGUUUAAUAUAAAUAUAAAAAUAAUUAUUGUUAUAAUUUUAAAAUUCAACUAGAAAAUAACUCGAGAAAAGACCUAGAUCAUUAGUCUGAGUUAUCAUUAAUGCUAUCAAUACAAAUAUAAAAUUAGUUAUUAUUAUAGUUUUAAAACAUUACUUAAGAAUCAGUCUAGGACCAUGCCAGAGUCAUGAAACGGGCUAACUAUUAACUUUGGAUAAAGCCCAUGUCAUGAGUUGGGAUGAUAAAUCCAAGUUGACUUAAAACAACAUGAAAAUAAAAAUAAUAUUAUUAUAAUUUUAGAAUUCAAAAUUCAAAAUCAACCUUAAAUAAGACCUGAGCUAAAAAUAAAAAAUUUACCUUGAGUUAAAACAACCUUAUUUUAACUUAAAAAAUUAUAUAUUAAAAAAAAUCAAAUCCUUUUUUGACCUUUUUUAAACCCCAUCCAAUCCAGAUUUUAUAUCAGUCAACUUCCAUACAGUACGUACGAAUUAAAAAAAAGAAGAAGAAGAAGAAGAAGCAAAUUAUCCAAUCCAAUCUAUCCAGAGACAGCAAACUCAGAAUAGUUAUUCAUCAAGUCAUGUCUUGUUUAGUCGUCUCCAGUUUAGUCCGAUCAACGUCAUAUCAAACACGAUAUUAAAAAGCCAUGUUCUGGUGCUUUUACGUGGGAUUUACAUGCCAUGUCACCUUCCUCUUCAACGGUGGACUUCUCCGCCUCUGAUUUGUGUCAGAACACCACCGUGCGGCUCUCAUGUGACUUUUUAUUAGCUCCUAUAGAUUUAAUAAUAUUAUACUUUGGUCUCCAUUGUUUAAAUUUGUGCAAUUUGAUAUAAAUAUCCUUUCUAAGAUCCAAUUUGAAAUUGUUCCAUUUUAUAAUUAUAAAAAUGAUACUAUAUUUAAUUAUAAAUCAUAUUUCCAAGAUAUAUAAUUUUUUCUACUGCCACUUAUAAUUGGCAUUACAUUGAUUGUUUCAUUUCAUAGAUAUAUGGAUGAAUUAAAUGUAAUAAAUCAUAUAUGUUAUACAUGAAACUCCCGGGAAGGAAUUGGAUGAGGAAAUUUAAACUAUGGAAGCUAAUUGUAAACCUGCAAGAACUUCAGGGACUAAAUAAAUAGUUUAAAAUACUCUUAUUUUUGGACCCCCCUUGUAAUGCGUCUUCAAAUUUAAAUUAUUGAUAUUAUCGUUAUACAGUGGGCCAUGAAACAGAGAAUCAAAAUUUGUCCAAGUCUUAUGUAAGUACCACGUGUCGGUCGUGUGUGGUCCAUACGUGGCUAGUGGCGAUUAGUUGCUGACUCUGUCAGUCUCGAUACGAACGGGACCGCAGAAGAUUAAAGCGCUCGCGUCAACCUCACCGCUUUUGUUCUCUAACGAAUUCCUCUACGCGGCAAUGCGCUCGCGUCAACCUCACCGCUUAAAUAUUUAUCGUAAGGAAAUUCGAAUUUUAUUAAAAAUAAAUUGUUAAUGUACAUAAUAAAUAAAUAAAAUAGUACUUCGCACAAUGUUAUUAAAACCGGUAAAGUUUUAUAUGUAAACUAAAAUUGAUUGAUUCAGUUAAAUCAAAAUAAUUAGAUAAAUAAUUAAAAUAAAAUUUAUAAUAAUAUUAUUUUAAUUUUUUAAAAAAAAUGAAAUAAUAUCAUUUUGAUUAUCCAAGGUUAACUUUAACUAAUAUAAUUAGUAAAUCAACUUGGUCUAGCUAUAUUUAACAACCUUUUGUUUUACCACUUAAAAUAAGUAUGAGUUAUAAUCAAUAUGUUCUUCUUUUUUUACUAGUAAAAUAGCAUUAAACCCAUAAAUAUAUGGCAUUAGAAUGGAGAAAGAAUUGAAUAAUUUUUUAAAAUAUUUUAUUCUACAUCCAUAACUGUACAUCAAUUGAAUAGCUAAAAUUAAUUAUUCAUUUGUUAGCUAUAACUUAUUUUUGAGUUGUAAUGCGCUGUGUUAUGAUGUUUUUUUUAUUAUUAUAUUAUAUUAUAUUGUGACGUGCUACAUUAAAGUGUGAAGUGUGAUAUAUAUAUUUGCUUUUUAAUUUUUAAAAUUUAGUGUGUGUAUUGCCAUUGCCGGGAUAAAUUUUUAUGUUUUUUUUUUUUUUUUUACAUUUUCCGGCCUGAUUUCAGCAAGCAAAAGUACUUAAUACUAUGAAAUUGAUAGAUAUAGUUGUCAAGAGUAAGUUCCAUGGAAAACUUUGGCAAGGAUAUGUGCUCGAGUUAAUUAAUGAACAAGGCUUGGCUUUGCUAGAACAAGACAAGAAGCAACACUCAGUUUAACCUAGUGAAGGACGAAAGAAGGGAGGGGAAAAAUUAAGAAGAAGAACUCGAUCAUGAUCAGAUGUAUGUGCACAUCUAAUGCAGGAAAUGUCGUCGAAUUUAGGGCUAUUUUUUGGUGGUCUAGCUAGAAGGCGGGUUAUCAUGAACAAGCUAGCUGCCAUAUAUAGGAAGGAUCGAUGUUCUCUAGCUAGGGUUCAAGCACCAGUUGGUGGUAUCUUCGGAACUCCUUGCUUUUGCAGCUCCACCAGCACACUAUCAGUAGCUGGAGCUUUAAGCCCAAGAGGAAGUGGCAGCCAUGGCUUUGAUAAAACAUCUCCAAUAACUGCGUCUACACUCUCUUUUGACUGUUGCAAAACAUGUCGCCAUGAAUUAGAUAAACAGGUUGGUUAUCAUGUUUUAUAUAUAUAUAUAUAUAUAUGUGCUGAGAAGAAGAGGGAGAGUAGUACUCACCGGAUGAAAGUCAAAGAGAGGGCUGGGGCCUGGCUGUCCGGUAAGGAGGCCAAUGCCGGGGUCUACUUUGUACAUGGCAUGGGGCGGGAUGCCGGGGACAGGAGGUGCAGGAAAUCUCUGCAAUAGAUAUGGAGUAUAUCCAUAAGUAAGCUUUUUAUACACACCCUAUUAAUUGCAACAUAUGCCCGUGUUGUAUAUGAAUCCAAAGCUGAAGAUACAAACAGAUUUAAAAACUCCAAAAGAGAUGGAAUGAUUACUUACAGUUGCCAGUGGCUGUGGAAAGCAAGGUGUCCCUGGGGUUAGUCCGUUCGGAACCUGCUCAAAAAAAUGAUAUGGCCAAAUUACAAAGAAGGCUAUCCAAUUACUUUUCCUUCUUUUUUUUUUUUUUCUCUUGAUUGAUUGAAUUGAAAGAAGAAGGGAAUAAUUAGGGCUUACCCUUUGGUGAGGGUGGUGGUGCCAAUAUGAAGGAUCUGGUGGUGGAGGUGGUGGGUGCCAUGUAGGUGGUGGCAGCGGCCGAGGCGGUGAAGGUGAAUAUUGAGCUAGAUGCUUAGGCCACAUAUGCAUUGGGGAUGGGUCCAUGGAAGGAUGUCCCCAUACAUGUAACGGUCUAAAGUGGUGGUGCAUGGGGUGAGUUAUGGGAGGGAACCCCAUGGUGAGUGCAUGCCAUGCGCUAAUGUCUCUCUUGCCACCUCCACCGGCUGCCGCGGCUCCAUACAUUUGCCGUCUUUGGCUCCAGUUUGCUGCCUCAGCCUCGCGCGCUAGCAAAUGUUUCCGGUGUGAUCGAUAUUUCUACACAAAUUCAUCAAAUUCAUUUAAUCAUAUAUAUCCAAAAUUAACCACCCCAUACAAUAUAGACUAACUCCAAAACAACUUUUAAUACGUUUGUUAAAUGUUUUAGUUUCAAUUCAAGCCCAUUUCCUUUGCUAUAAAAAGGAGUAUAUGCUAAACCAAAUUAUGCAAAAUCAAAGUAAUUAUAAAGUGAUUGAAGCAAACAAAUUCUCUAUUGGCUUGUUGUGAUUGAACAUUUCUUAUUUUGAAAGAAAACGCAUCUUGAAUAUUAGAGUAAAGCCAGCAGGAAGUCAAAAUUUGCUGGCUACUGAAAUGAAAUAUAGGCAUAAGCAUGAGCAAAACGAAGAAAAAAACACUAAUAGCAGAAGGAAGUUUUCAGUAUAUGUACUUGAAGAUGGCUAGCAAUAUUAUGGCGAGUGAGACAGUCAAUUCCCAUAAGUUCUAAAAUCCUCGAAGGCACUGCCUUAUCCACCCCUAGCUGCUCCACUGCUUGCACGAACCUCCUGUGCAGCUCUGGUGUCCAAUCCACCUACACGCAGUUCAAGAAAAUUACUCUCUCUUCAUUAUCAUACCAUAAAAAGAAGAAAAAAAAACAAAAAAAAUAUAUGAGAGCUCUUCUGAUCUUAUGGAUAAUUCAGUUUCCCAUGAUUCUCGUGACCAUUUAGCCCUGAUGAAGUUUGCUGAGUACUGAGGAGCCCCAAAUUGAUUGAGAGAGAGAGAGAGAUGUGUAUUUAGUAUUUAAUUAGCACAUGCAUGAAGUACUUAUGAACAAACAAAAUCUAGUGUUUAAUUAUUUUUUGUUUAUCUUCAACGAAUCGAAGAGACAUAAGACUGCAAAAACAACCUGAUCAAUUAAAUAAAAGC